UUCGCCCUUUUCCGGUUGAUCCCGCCGGACCCCACUGCUAUCGAGGUGGGACUAAGCCAUGCUAGUUGAGCGCACAGAACUAUGUCUGUGAGCGGCACACUGCUCAGUAACACGUAGCUAACCUACCCUUAGGACGUGGACAACCCCGAGAAAUUGGGGCUAAUCCGCGAUAGAUGUAAUGUCCUGGAAUGGUAUUACGUCCAAAGGUAUCCCAUACAUGUUUGGUAUACGCCUAAGGAUGGGGCUGCGGCCGAUCAGGCUGUUGGUGAGGUAAUGGCUCACCAAACCUUUGACCGGUACGGGCCAUGAGAGUGGUAGCCCGGAGAUGGACACUGAGACAAGGGUCCAGGCCCUACGGGGCGCAGCAGGCGCGAAACCUCCUCAAUGCACUUACGUGCGAAGGGGCUACCUCGAGUGCCACCUGAUGAAGGUGGCUUUUCCUAGGUCAAAAAAGCCUUGGGAAUAAGAGGGGGGCAAGACU
rnacentral:rRNA from 1 species